rnacentral:lncRNA from 1 species
AUGCGCGAGGCGCGAGCGGCCUCUCGCGUCACAGCGGUUCCCACGGUUGUCUUAGAAACCGGCCCCCUGAGGCUUGGCAAAGCAGGAGCCCUCCGUGGCGGUGCUUGGGUGUCGGGGCUGCGAGGCUCCUGCCUCACCUCUCCACGGGGUCGACAGGAACGUCUCCGGACGGACGCCGGGAGUCGCACCGCGCCGGCCAGGAUGACAAAAGCGCAGGCGGAGUCCGGGGGAAGCGGCGCGUCGUCCCAGCCUCAGGCCUGCCCGGACGGUGUUGGGGUGAGUCUCCCCAGAAGUCUUGCCCCCGUGAUCUCCACCACGGGUCCGCCCGCCUGUCCGUGGGCUGCUCUCUCCCCCGAGGGGCCUUCACGCGCGGAGCGGGAGCCUGCAGCGUCAGGGGGGCUGUGUGCCUGCGGGGGCUGCGUUUCUGUGCCGCUGCUGCCGUGUGACUGUGUGUGUCUGCGUCUCUCCCAUCCUCUCUUGUCUCUCUGGCCCUCACUCUCUGUGUGUGUCUUUCCCUCUUUCUGCCGCUUCGUGUGUGCGUGCCCGUGUGCGUGGGUGCGUUCGGACGAAUGCGCCCGGUGCGCCCAAAGGCGACUGCUUGCGCGUCGGCCUGGCUCUGCCGAGCCUCUUUCUUCUGCCUCUGUGCCUGGGUCUUGCGGCGGGCUCGUCAGUGGUUUCCGCCGCCGUUCCACUUGGGGUCCUCCUCCCUGA